rnacentral:rRNA from 1 species
AUUGAACGCUGGCGGCAGGCUUAACACAUGCAAGUCGAACGGUAGCAGGUAAGUACUUGUACUUAUGCUGACGAGUGGCGGACGGGUGAGUAAUGUUUGGGAAUCUAGCUUAUGGAGGGGGAUAACGACGGGAAACUGUCGCUAAUACCGCGUAGAAUCGGAAGAUGAAAGUGCGGGACCUUAGGGCCGCAUGCCAUAGGAUGAGCCCAAGUGGGAUUAGGUAGUUGGUGGGGUAAAGGCCUACCAAGCCUGCGAUCUCUAGCUGGUCUGAGAGGAUGGCCAGCCACACCGGGACUGAGACACGGCCCGGACUCCUACGGGAGGCAGCAGUGGGGAAUAUUGCGCAAUGGGGGCAACCCUGACGCAGCCAUGCCGCGUGAAUGAAGAAGGCCUUCGGGUUGUAAAGUUCUUUCGGUGUUGAGGAAGGAUGUUGUGUUAAUAGCGCAACAAAUUGACGUAAACACAGAGAGCCCCG